GGGCCGGUGAUGUGAGCCGGACGUUGAUCGGUUACCACUUCGGAUGGAGAUGUCGCGGGUUCGAAUCCCGCCCGCCCCA
rnacentral:tRNA from 1 species